GAGACCGUAACUCAGCUGGUAGAGUAAUUGCCUUUUAAGCAAUAAGUCAAGGGAUCGUACCCCUUCGGUCUCA
rnacentral:tRNA from 1 species